GACGAACGCUGGCGGCGUGCUUAACACAUGCAAGUCGAACGGUGAAGCCCUUCGGGGUGGAUCAGUGGCGAACGGGUGAGUAACACGUGAGCAACCUGCCCCUGGCUCCGGGACAACCACUGGAAACGGUGGCUAAUACCGGAUACGACCCGCCUCGGCAUCGAGUGUGGGUGGAAAGUUUUUCGGCUGGGAUGGGCUCGCGGCCUAUCAGCUUGUUGGUGAGGUGAAGGCUCACCAAGGCGACGACGGGUAGCCGGCCUGAGAGGGCGACCGGCCACACUGGGACUGAGACACGGCCCAGACUCCUACGGGAGGCAGCAGUGGGGAAUAUUGCACAAUGGGCGAAAGCCUGAUGCAGCGACGCCGCGUGAGGGAUGACGGCCUUCGGGUUGUAAACCUCUUUCAGCUCCGAAGAAGCGAAAGUGACGGUAGGAGCAGAAGAAGCACCGGCUAACUACGUG
rnacentral:rRNA from 1 species